GGUUGCUAUGGUGUUGCUAUGCAGUUGCUAGGGUACUCGGGGUGGUUGCUAGGGUGUUGCUAUGCGGUUGCUAGGGUACUCGGGGUGGUUGCCAUGGUGUUGCUAUGCGGUUGCUAUUGUACCCAGGCUGGUUGCUAGGAUGAUGCCAGGGUGAUUUGUGUGGUUGCUAUGCAGUUGCCAUGGUGUUCUGGGUGGUUGCUAGGUUGUUUUGGGUGGUUGCUAUGAGAGUUGAUCAUAGAUAGAUAGAUGGAUAGAGUUUAUGAAUUUGAAUAAGUUGAUAGAUAGAUGAGAAGUCAUAGAUGAGAAGUCAUAGAUGAGAAUUCAUAGAUGAGAAGAGAGAUAGAUGAGAAGUGAUAGAUGAGAAGACAGAUGAGAAGAGAGA